GCCGUCCGAGCCCUUCUUGCGCUUUCUCCACCUCUAGGUUUCCCGCCGCCGCCCCCGCGUCCGAUGCACCUCCGCUGCUCGAGCAAGGAGCAGCAACUCCUUUAGCCUCGCGCCGCCGUCGACCCGCCCUUCUCGUCGGCCGUGCCCCAUGCUAGCAGGUGGGCGGAGCCUCAUCACGGUGAGAAGGGGCUCGCCGGCGGGGCCGAGCAGCGCCAGCUCGCCCGGGGAGGCAGCGCCCCCGCCGUGGCCGCGGCCGUAGGUGUCAGCGCGGAAGGCGAGGCCGCCGGUGCGGUUGUCGUAGGCCGGAAAGCCGUCGCCGAGGGAGACGAGGGUAGCAGCAGUCGCAGCAGGUGGCGAUGGUGGUGAAAGCGUCGGAUGUGGGCUGCUUCAGCGGGAAUGGCGCAAGGCCCACCGCUUCUUCUACUGCGGCGCUUCAAAACGGCGUCUCUGCAGGUAUGCUAGCGCCUCGUCUUCUCUUGUUUCUUACUGAUGCAAAGCGGAAAUGGGUAAAUAUGGAGAUUAGCCAAUGAGAUAUGGUUGUUAAAUUUGUCUUUUGUGGUACAUUUUUUUUGAGGAAAUCGGUGAUAACGCAAGGAACUAAGACCUUCAGUGAGACUGUCUUUGGUGUAUUAGCGAAAUUUGUUCAUCGGAUAGAGCUUUGAAUAGAUUAGCCAUCCUCCUCUCUAUUUACAUUCAUGUGCAGAAUGGGUGGUGUUGCAGCGCCUCUAGGUUGCCUGAGGUGGGGGAGACUUGAUCCACCUCCUCGUUUCUAUAGAUCUUUCGCCAAAGAAGGUUGCAGAGAUAUCAAUCUAGAAGAAGAAUGAGGGGGGAUUGGGAAUGUUCUGUAACUAUUUUUAUUGCUAACUUAGAUGGGAUUACAGUUCAUUGGUUUCAUUAUUUGGUCAUGUCUAAUUUUGCUAGCUAAGAUGCUAGCCCCUAUGCUGAACAAUGUUACAUUUUGACUCAUCUAGACCAUCCUUGUUGCAACCCUCACCUUAGCUGCUAAUGGUACCAAUUGUGCUGCUGGGGUUGUUGUUUUUGGUUGUUGAGAAGGAUGCUACCAGUUAUGCCUUUGUUUGUGCAAACUUUAUGAUUAGCAGGUACAGUGAGCACCCUUCAGAACCUCUUGUUUCUUCUUUGCUCAAGUUACAUUACGUAUCAAGAUGUGAGUUACUAAAUGUUCAUGUAUGUAUCAUGGAUGGACACUACCUCUUGUAUUGUUGAUUGGUUUGCAGGCUUAAUGGUUCUGGUUCAGGUAGAAGAGCUUCAGCCUUAGAAGAUUUCUGGGAGAAUCGAGUAAGUGAAUACAAAGAAGCACUUGCCUUUGGAAUUAAAGAUCAGUUUAUGACACUGACCAGAGAUCAUACCAAGGGAUUUCAGGGCUAGCAAAUAUGCUAAACAUAAAUACAGAGAGGCAAUCAGGCAGUGGAUUUCCGAUAUUGAUGCGAGAAAAAUUCCUUUGGCUCAAAGCCCACUUACUGAUAUUCUCAUGGUGUUUUAACCAAUAUAUAUAUACCAUCGGCUCGACGGCGAGGAGGGAAACCCCGCAGACCGAGGACAGCGCGAUGACUGUGCCGCAUGUGAAGAGCAUGGUCAUGUCAUGGGACCACACAUCGGUGGUGGUCCGCUUGCCUGCUAUGGCAUCAAACACGACUACACCCUUUUACUCGGCCUAUUCGGAUUGGAUUGGGCAGGGUGCUCUUUUGCUUUAAAGAUAGGAUAGGUGGAUAUAUUUGGUUUUAUGAUGGACAGGUUGAUCAAAAUCACAUGGCCUUUUUUCAAGUUUGAGAAGAAAAAGACACUAGAACAGGUGAUUGAUCACAACCAUACUUUCAGAGAUUUAUAUUUGAACUUUUUCAGUUACAAUUAAAGGCAGAAGGUAGCAGUUGACAUUAUUGGUAAAUUAAUUCUCUGCAUUUACAUAUGUGCUGAUGUAACUAACAUACAUCUAUACAUGGCUUUACUGAGCAUGAUCUUGCAUUUGCUACAGCCUGCUAUGGUCAAAAUGCCUGAACCUAAGAAUAUGCUACCACAGUACCUACGUUUCUCUGUAGAAAAGGUCAAGUGUAAUCCUAAUUUGGGCUACUGAAUUUUAGCCCCUUCACUGGUUAUACAAUGGUUAUCUACAUGUUUAUGACCGAUGUUUCACAGCGGAGGGAGUAUUUAGGAAUGCAUACAAGCAAUUCCUGUAUGAAGCAACACCACAUAAGCUCUAUAUUUCAGAACAAGCGUUCUGCAUUUUCAGAGAUUAAUCUGUGUCGAUAUAUUCAGUGUUUAAGAAGGGCGAUCGAUGCGCUUUGGUGUACAUGAUGAGCAUACUUCAUCCACCGCCGCCGCCUCCUCCCAUCCCAGAUCCGCUGCCGCCACCGGAGGAAGGGCCCCUCCCGAGACCCGCUUCUCCCUCGAGUCAGGUCGUGUGGGCGCCAUCGUCGUCUUCUGCCUUCGGUGCGUGGCACCACUGCCGGAGAGAGCGACGAGGAGGUCCAGCAGCCCGUGCUUUCAUCGUCGUGUGGCGCCAAAAGAAUGACGAGGAGGCGGAGCAGUUCGUGGUGUCUUCGUCAUCGCCGGCCGUGCUGGCUGACCAUGACACAGAGUUAGAGGCCAUCAGGCAGAGGCGAGUGCAAGAGCUAAUGGGACAACAUGGUGGUGCGCGUUGGAGGGAGUGUCGCGUCUUGUGGCAACUGCGCCACCAAUCAAUUGCCUAGGCCAGCUGGCCGAUGCGCUCUGUGUAUCCGAGGAUGACGUUCGAUUUGACCUGACCAGCAGCCGCUGCCGCUCCCACAACCACAUCACCGGCCAUCCAGUGGGCUUCUUAUACCCAUCUAUGUUCUUUGCAACAUUGUACCGCAGAACGUAGAUUUUAAUUCAGUGUGUCGAUCCUACAUGCUUAUUAAUGAACAUGCAGUGUUGGAGGGAGUGUCGCGUCUUGUUGUAUUCAGAGAUGCUCUGUAUUUUGUGGUAGGAAUUUUAAGCUCUAAGGACAUAAUUAUUCAGCCUGCAAGAUUUUUGCUUUGGGUUUUAGAAAACUGAACAACAGUAUAGCAACAUAUUUACUGUAGUACCUGUGUGCAUGUCUGCAUGAUCAUCUUCUUGGUGGCCUGAUUAGAAUUAUGCUAAUUUUCUUGCUUUGCACUUGGGGUAAACAGGCUAGACCAAAAGGUACGAUACUAAUGGCGAACAGCAUGAUACCGACCUGAUGUGUAAUAGUUGCAACUGACCAACUCAAAUGAAUACUAAGUAUCUUCUCAGCCUGUUAUCUCAGUAUGUAUUGCUCUUUCAUUUGCUAUUUGCCCAGAAUUUGGGACAGUAUGGUCCCAUCUAUAUGUUGGCUCCCAUCUAUUCUAGCUUGUGGCCAUAUCAAGGGUUCUCGCUGUCUAUCUUGGUGGAUAUUAGCUUUGUUCUCGUAGAGAUUGUCCCUGGGAUCAUCAUUAGGCUAUUGGCUAUUCUUGACCGUCCUCAUGAAUUUAUUUUAGAUUUAAAUUUAUAAUCAAACACUGCAAUCUAUAUUUCUAUCAGUAUAAUGGUAUGUCACCUAUCCUAUUUU